CAGCAGCCGCGGUAAUACGAAGGGGGCUAGCGUUGUUCGGAAUUACUGGGCGUAAAGGGCGCGUAGGCGGCCAUUCAAGUUAGAUGUGAAAGCCCUGGGCUCAACCUAGGAAUUGCAUUUGAUACUGUUUGGCUUGAGUUCGGGAGAGGUGAGUGGAAUUCCCAGUAUAGAGGUGAAAUUCGUAGAUAUUGGGAAGAACACCAGUGGCGAAGGCGGCGACCUGGUCCUUGACUGACGCUGAGGCGCGAAAGCGUGGGGAGCAGACAGGAUUAGAUACCCCGGUAGUCCCUGUCUCUUAUAC
rnacentral:rRNA from 1 species